rnacentral:rRNA from 1 species
AGGGUUUGAUUCUGGCUCAGAACGAACGCUGGCGGCAGGCCUAACACAUACAAGUCGAGCGAGACCUUCGGGUCUAGCGGCGGACGGGUUAGUAACGCGUGGGAACGUGCCCUUUUCUACGGAAUAGCCUUUGGAAACGAAGAGUAAUACCGUAUACGCCCUUUGGGGGAAAGAUUUAUCGGAGAAGGAUCGGCCCGCGUUAGAUUAGAUAGUUGGUGGGGUAAUGGCCUACCAAGUCUACGAUCUAUAGCUGGUUUUAGAGGAUGAUCAGCAACACUGGGACUGAGACACGGCCCAGACUCCUACGGGAGGCAGCAGUGGGGAAUCUUAGACAAUGGGCGCAAGCCUGAUCUAGCCAUGCCGCGUGAGUGAAGAAGGCCUUAGGGUCGUAAAGCUCUUUCGCCAGGGAUGAUAAUGACAGUACCUGGUAAAGAAACCCCGGCUAACUCCGUGCCAGCAGCCGCGGUAAUACGGAGGGGGUUAGCGUUGUUCGGAAUUACUGGGCGUAAAGCGCACGUAGGCGGAUUAGAAAGUUAGAGGUGAAAUCCCAGGGCUCAACCCUGGAACUGCCUUUAAAACUCCUAGUCUUGAGUUCGAGAGAGGUGAGUGGAAUUCCAAGUGUAGAGGUGAAAUUCGUAGAUAUUUGGAGGAACACCAGUGGCGAAGGCGGCUCACUGGCUCGAUACUGACGCUGAGGUGCGAAAGUGUGGGGAGCAAACAGGAUUAGAUACCCUGGUAGUCCACACCGUAAACGAUGAAUGCCAGUCGUCGGGUAGUAUACUAUUCGGUGACACACCUAACGGAUUAAGCAUUCCGCCUGGGGAGUACGGUCGCAAGAUUAAAACUCAAAGGAAUUGACGG